UUUUGAUAAAGGCAAACUUAUCGAAAGAUAAGGACGCAAAGCCAAGGGCCUAAAGUAAAGAACUUUCUUUACUAUGGCAGCCGGUUACCGUA
rnacentral:ncRNA from 2 species